GCUCAUUAUUGGAGAGCCAGAGAGGGAGGGACCCACACUCCCUCAGACCCCAAAAAGCGGAGGAGCCCAGCGACCCCGGGACAGAGCAGAGAGCGCAUCCCGUCCCGCCAACAUGCUGCACCCGGUCAUGAUCGCCAUCGUCACCGCCAACACCUCCAUCACCAUCUUGUACUGGGCCUUCAUCCUCACCGAGGUCUUCUCCAAGAAGAUCAGCGCCGAGGCCAAGGCGAAGGACAACCCUGUUUAAGGGAACACAGCCGUUUAUAAUUAUAACUAACUUAGCCACCUGAACUAUAACUGUCAGAGUAUUGGCUCAGUUCUGAGUGCGUGGCUUGUAGUGCUAUUGCAGUAGGUGCUCACUAGGGGGAGCUCUCACUCUCCAGGUUCUUUACGAUGUAUUCCGCUGCUUGCUUCCUGACCGGAGUUCCCAACCCAGCUCCAGGUAAGAAAUAUGUUAUGUAUGUAUAAUCUUCAUUUACAUCCUGGGAAGGUUGCAAUCAUUUGGCCCAAUAACUGAGUAACAAUAAAAAUUAGAGAUAGACAUAAAGACACAACAAUAUCAACAAAAAACAAUACAGUUUGUAAAACUAUCAUUGCAAAUUUGCAUAUAAUUGGUUGGGUGGGAAAUUUAGUAUGAGAGCAAGAUUCAAUGGUUGAUAAAAAGGCAUAUACCUAUACAGAAACACAUGUGAACACGUUUGAUUAUACAUCAGCCGGGUUUAGACUUUUCUGGAAAAAGCAAAACAAGCCCAGUAAUUAACCCAGCCAUUUACGAUAAUUAGCAUUUUGUCCACGCUUAAAAUUUUUUUUUUUUUUGAUGAGCUCAUGACUAACAGCUAAAUGAAUAUUAAACGGUUUACUGUGUUCUAAUCCAUGACUCAUAUUAUAGACUUACAGUCAUGUAACUAUGUAAGCCAAGUCACUGUGUGAGCAACAUUAUGAAUGAGGAGGACACCCUUCAGGACUUGCUCAUGGGACAGAGAGAGAAUUAGGGUCAGGGGGAAAGGAGAGGAGUUUUGGAACUAGACAGACAGAGCGAGAGACAGAGAGAAAGAAAGAAAGAGAGGGCACCCACUCGCACCCAGAGCUCAGGAACACACCAGGCAGAAAGCGCGAUCCAGGAAGAGAGGGCGUUCAGCCACACUCAGUCAACAUGCUGCACCCCAUCAUGAUCGGCAUCGUAACCGCCAACACCUCCAUCACCAUCAUCUUCUGGAACUUCAUCUUGUCUCAGGUCUUCUGCAAGAAGAUCGAGGACAAACCGCACGACGAGGUGGUCCCGGUUUAGUGAGUUAGCACGAGGCGAAGCAUUUUUUUAAAACAAACAUUUUAAAAGUCAUGGACUGGCUGGCAGGAAGCACCAUUUUGUUUGGGGAGUAGUUUAUUCCUUCCUUCUCUGCAUCCAUCAUCUCUGUUAAAGAUGGUCUCCACCCAGACAGCAGCCCCAGCCUGAGCUCUCGUCCUCCCUGACGGGAAGGAGGGAUUGAUGUUCCCACCUGGAAGAAGAGAAGCUUGAGGGAUGAAAUAGUAACCCCGCCAAAUCUGGAACAUGGACUGAAGUAAAAAGAGCUGUUCUGGGUUUCGCUCAGCAGUUAUCCAUCUAACUCCGUAAUCCUGCUUUGUGAAAUACCCCCCAGGUGUAACAACAUAUCAUAUAAUAUUGAGGUUAUAAUACGAAGAUCAUUUCCCAUAGAAUUUUAUCUUCCUGUGGAUGAUUCUUCAAUAGAAACUGCUGUUAAGUAGAACUGAAUAUGCUAGCUUAUGGCUGUGCAGUACACAUUUUCUGCACUAUAAGCGUUAAUCAAACAUGCUGCGUUGCUUCACUGUGCAGUAGAGGUAGAUUAAUCUGUACUUGUAAUUAAGCUGACCAAGUGGUUUACCAGUGCUGCAAUAAAGAAAGGAGUGGGAUUUAUCCCUUUCCAUUUUAUCUGA